UACGUAGGUGGCAAGCGUUGUCCGGAUUUACUGGGCGUAAAGAGCGCGCAGGCGGUUGGAUAAGUCGAAUGUGAAAGCCCCCGGCUCAACUGGGGAGGGUCAUUCGAACUGUCCAACUCGAAGGCAGGAGAGGGAAGCGGAAUUCCCGGUGUAGUGGUGAAAUGCGUAGAUAUGCGGAGGAACACCGAUGGCGAAGGCAAUCCCUGGCCUGCACUGACGCUGAGGCGCGAAGGCGUGGGGGAGCGAACGGG
rnacentral:rRNA from 1 species